AUUUAAAAAUAUAAUUAGCACAAUUUUCCAGAAUGUUCAUCAGGGAAUGAAUUUAUAAGUUGUUAUAUAAAGGAUUUUCCUGAAAAAUAAAGUCUUCACGAGGCAAGAAUUCUUGCAGUGAGUUCUGUGGCUAAUCCUUCCCUUUGAGGCAGUGUUUGUAGGGGAUGGAGGGAGUUAGUACUCACUGUAGGGGAUGGAGGGAGUUACUACCCACUGUAGGGGAUGGAGGGAGUUACUACCCACUGUAGGGGAUGGAGGAGUCACUACCCACUGUAGGGGAUGGAGGAGUCACUACCCACUGUAGGGAUGGAGGAGUUACCACCCACUGUAGGGGAUGGAGGAGUUAUUACUCACUGUAGGGAUGGAGGAGUUACUACCCACUGUAGGGGAUGGGGGAGUUACCACCCACUGUAGGGAUGGAGGAGUUACCACCCACUGUAGGGGAUGGAGGAGUUACUACCCACUGUAGGGGAUGGAGGAGUUACUACCCACUGUAGGGAUGGAGGAGUUACUACCCACUGUAGGGAUGGAGGAGUUACCACCCACUGUAGGGAUGGAGGAGUUACUACCCACUGUAGGGAUGGAGGAGUUACUACCCACUGUAGGGAUGGAGGAGUUACUACCCACUGUAGGGAUGGAGGAGUUACUACUCACUGUAGGGAUGUAGGAGUUACUACCCACUGUAGGGAUGGAGGAGUUACCACCCACUGUAGGGAUGGGGGAGUUACCACCCACUGUAGGGGAUGGAGGGAGUUACUACCCACUGUAGGGGAUGGAGGGAGUUACUACCCACUGGCUGACAGAUUUUCAUGGCCGGAGUUACAGUCACGGUGAUUUUGCUUAUUUAAGUAAAAUUUUAUUAUCUCUACUAUGAAAGGUGUAAAGUCACAGGAAACGGAAAAUCAGGAUCAACUCAUACUGAAAUGCAGCUAGAAAGUGGGUUUUGAAGAUUGAGUCAGAAAUUAAAAAUGCCUUUUGUGUGUAUCUGUUUUUUAUCAUGAUGAAAAUCAAUGGUUUCCCUUAUCCUGUGCAUCAAAUGCAAAUAGCUGCUGAAGUAGCUGCUCUUGCCCUGGUCUGUGCACUAUUUAGCUCCAGGGCACUUCCAAACAUUUGUGGGAAAAAAUGAAGUGGCAAGAUAAGUUUGUUUCAGGGCAAAUAAUUUUGAGAUCUAUGCACAACGUUUUCAUAACUUGUAUUUUCUGGGAACUUCAUGAAGAUCCCUCUGUAUACCUGGGUUGAAAAGUUUCUUUCCCACUGAAUAAACUCACCUCUCGGCUCCA
rnacentral:lncRNA from 1 species